AAGUCGUAACAAGGUCUCCGUUGGUGAACCAGCGGAGGGAUCAUUACCGAGUUUACAACUCCCAAACCCCGUGAACAUACCUACGUUGCUUCGGCGGACCGCCCCGGGCGCUUCGUGCCCCGGACUAAGGCGCCCGCCGAGGGCCCGAAACGCAGCAUUCUACCUGAACCUCUGAGUGGCUUACAGCAACUGUAACAACUUUCAACAACGGAUCUCUUGGCUCUG
rnacentral:misc_RNA from 1 species